UACGAAGGGGGCUAGCGUUGUUUGGAAUUACUGGGCGUAAAGCGCACGUAGGCGGAUCGAUCAGUCAGGGGUGAAAUCCCAGGGCUCAACCCUGGAACUGCCUUUGAUACUGUCGAUCUGGAGUAUGGAAGAGGUGAGUGGAAUUCCGAGUGUAGAGGUGAAAUUCGUAGAUAUUCGGAGGAACACCAGUGGCGAAGGCGGCUCACUGGUCCAUUACUGACGCUGAGGUGCGAAAGCGUGGGGAGCAAACAGG
rnacentral:rRNA from 1 species